rnacentral:lncRNA from 1 species
GAAAAAAUUGGGUCUCAAUCCUGUGUGGGUCCUGGAUCCCAAGUUCUAUGAGCAUCUCUGAUGUCCGCAACAUAAUCAUCAUUAGCUACAAUAUCUGCAGCAUCAUCAUUAGCUACACCAAAGGUGUCACCCCCCCUAACAGAAGGACGUUGGCCUUUUGGCCAAGCAACCUGGACUGUUGGAUCAAAUGGCCUCGGAAUAAUUAAGAAGGGGGAGUUGAAUUAAUUAUUAAUGUAUCUUGACUAAUUAAAACUUAUCCUUCUUAAUGUUACUAGAUUCACUUAGGCUUUACUACUAAGUUAUGUAACUUAAACAAAAGUAAAGCGUAAAAGUAAA